rnacentral:rRNA from 1 species
AAUGAACGUUGGCAGCGUGGAUUAGGCAUGCAAGUCGAGCGACAAGGUUCCUUCGGGGACUGGAGGAGCGGCAAACGGGGUAGUAAGGCAUCGGAACGUACCCUUUCGUCUGGGAUAGCCACGGGAAACUGUGAGUAAUACCGGAUAAUCUCUUCGGAGCAAAGGUCCGCCGCGUAAGGAGCGGCCGAUGUGAUACCAGCUUGUUGGUGAGGUAACGGCUCACCAAGGCGAAGACGUCUAGGGGGUGUGAGAGCAUGGCCCCCACACUGGGACUGAGACACUGCCCAGACACCUACGGGUGGCUGCAGUCGAGAAUCUUUGGCAAUGGGCGAAAGCCUGACCAAGCGACGCUGCGUGCGGGAUGAAGGCCUUUGGGUGUAAACCGCUGUCAG